rnacentral:lncRNA from 1 species
AACACCAGGCUAGAAAGGCCGAGCCUUCCACCUUUUACAAAGUAUAUAGGUGCAUUAAAUUAAAUAGCAUUUAAUAGGGUGAUAUAACAAGGAACCCAUGUAAUCACAUGGAAGCAACUACACAUGCAACUAGCAACGCUAACACAUGGUUAAGCAAGCGGUAAACAUAGCCAAUCAGUGGUUUGCUAGGUUCUGAACAGGUUGAAGGUUUUCAUGGCAUUGUUAAGGGUUGAUAUUUAACAUGUGGUAGGCAACGAGACAUAGCGAUAGAAACGGUAAAACUAGCAUGGCAAUGAUAGUAAUGGUAUCUGGGGAAAUGAUCAUCUUGCCUAAGAUCCCGCUUGGAAGUCCGUGAAGCAGACGAUCCAAUGUAGCCGAACGGGUCCUCACUUUCCGACACGCUUGCGGAACUCUAUCGAGAUGAAGGAAAUCGGAAACAGAAUCAACACACGAUAUUCACCACACGAUGCACAACACAAAUGAUGCAUGAACGGAGAAUAUAUGCAAGUCACGGCAUGGCAAUUCACAACAAUCAAACACAACACAUUAAGUGAAGUUCAAUAUGCAACGAGUUGCAUAUUGACGAAACUCCACAUACGAGUUAUUUAGUUCUGUCCCGAUUAGGUACACGACGGUAUUAAAUGUUAUUAAACAUGGCAAGAGGUGAAGCGCAAUUAAUCUACCUAUCUAGGCAUUUCAAAUGAGAUCGGAAAUGACAUAUAGCACCUCCGAGACGACCUCACAUGUGAAUUUACAAUU